AAGUCGUAACAAGGUUUCCGUAGGUGAACCUGCGGAAGGAUCAUUAGAAAAAAUUUGCUCUCUCUCGAGAGCUUUAUUUCUACAAACCCAUUGUGCACUGGUCCCUUUUUAUACGCCAAUGUCUAGUUAUGGAUGUGAUUGUUGACAAACUAAAAAAA
rnacentral:misc_RNA from 1 species